rnacentral:rRNA from 1 species
UGGGGAAUAUUGCGCAAUGGGGGGAACCCUGACGCAGCCAUGCCGCGUGAAUGAAGAAGGCCUUAGGGUUGUAAAGUUCUUUCGGUAUUGAGGAAGGUUGAUGUGUUAAUAGCACGUCAAAUUGACGUUAAAUACAGAAGAAGCACCGGCUAACUCCGUGCCAGCAGCCGCGGUAAUACGGAGGGUGCGAGCGUUAAUCGGAAUAACUGGGCGUAAAGGGCACGCAGGCGGUUAUUUAAGUGAGGUGUGAAAGCCCCGGGCUUAACCUGGGAAUUGCAUUUCAGACUGGGUAACUAGAGUACUUUAGGGAGGGGUAGAAUUCCACGUGUAGCGGUGAAAUGCGUAGAGAUGUGGAGGAAUACCGAAGGCGAAGGCAGCCCCUUGGGAAUGUACUGACGCUCAUGUGCGAAAGCGUGGGGAGCAAACAGGAUUAGAUACCCUGGUAGUCCACGCUGUAAACGCUGUCGAUUUGGGGGUUGGGGUUUAACUCUGGCGCCCGUAGCUAACGUGAUAAAUCGACCGCCUGGGGAGUACGGCCGCAAGGUUA